ACCUGAGCACUAGAUUUUUGAGACAUGAAACUGGAAACGCCUGCGAUUAAUGCGAUCGCUACUUUUCCACUUCGUGCGGAACCCUUUGCCCGCGCCGUCCUUCUUCUAUUCACCAAACCUAAGAUUACCGACCACUGCCGGGCUCUGCAACCUCUCUCCAUCAAUGGCGGCUAUGGAUCCGGGGAGUAACUCAACUAGUUCGCUGGUUUUAUGCGGGAAAUCACUGGCCGAGAAUGAAAUUGCUAAAAAAAUCAAGAUGGAUAAUACUUUGAAGCUUCCUGACAGUAGUGAAAUUUCGAUUGCUCUUCAGUCUGAAUUGGAUAAUGAACCUCUUAAAGAAGAUUCCUUUGGAAUUGAUUUAUUCAUGAACUCGCUUUCCACUCACAAAUUUGGCCGGUUUCUCGUUUGGUCCCCACUGUUGUCUUCAACGCACGACGUGGUUUCACACAACUUUUGUGAACUUCCCAUUGGCACGGUUUGUGUUGCUGAUGUUCAGACCAAGGGACGAGGUCGGUCAAAGAAUGUGUGGGAGUCUCCGUUGGGCUGCCUCCUAUUUUCUUUCACUCUACAAAUGGAGGAUGGACGGGUUGUUCCUUUACUACAGUAUGUAGUUUCCCUGGCUAUCACGGAGGCAAUAAAGGAUAUCUGUGACAAAAAUGGCUUACCCAGUGUUGAUGUAAAAAUUAAGUGGCCAAAUGAUCUCUACCUAAAUGGUCUUAAAGUUGGAGGCAUUUUAUGCACCUCAACCUAUAAAUCUAAGAAGUUUAAUGUUAGUGCAGGUAUCGGCUUGAAUGUCAACAAUGAGAAGCCAACAACAUGUUUAGAUUCGGCUCUGAGAGAGUUGUCCAUGAAAGGGUACCAAUUUCGGAGAGAGGAUGUUCUGGCAGCCUUCUUUAACAAAUUUGAGAAAUUUUAUGACCUUUUUGUGAAUCAAGGAUUCCAAACCCUGGAGCAGCUAUAUUAUAAGACAUGGUUGCACAGUGGACAAAGAGUUAUUGUGCAGGAAAAGAAUGAGGAUCAAAUGAUUGAACACGUGGUAACCAUUCAGGUUUGGCGGAUAUGGACAUCUUUUGACUUACUGUGACAAGGUUUAACAUCCUCAGGCUACUUGUUGGCCAUCGGCAAUGAUAAUCAAAUGUGUGAGCUCCAUCCUGAUGGCAAUAGCUUUGAUUUUUUCAAAGGACUGGUUAGAAGGAAACUUGAGUGAAGACUGAAGAAGGUUCCAUAGCAGACUCCACACGAGGCAAGAAAUCUUCCGCACUGUACACAGCAUGAAGAGCCUGGCUUUGUAGCGCAAAAUUAUCCAAUGAUCAAAACUUGUUCAUUGUAGUUAAAAUGUACGCUACUAUCGCAGAUUGGCUCUAAUUAUGGCAUGUAAGAAACUACGUACAUUUGUAACCAAAACAUAAUAUAUGAUGAUAAUAUUUUUCCCA